AGGUGCGAUCAUACCAGUACUAAUGCACCGGAUCCCAUCACAACUCUGCAGUUAAGCGUGCUUGGGCGAGAGUAGUACUAGGAUGGGUGUCCUCCUUGGAAGUCCACGUGUUGCACCUU
rnacentral:rRNA from 1 species